rnacentral:rRNA from 1 species
CAGAGGUGGCAAGCGUUGUUCGGAAUUACUGGGCGUAAAGGGCGCGUAGGCGGCCUUCUAAGUCGGACGUGAAAUCCCCAGGCUUAACUUGGGAACUGCGUCUGAUACUGGAAGGCUUGAGUGCGGGAGAGGGAUGUGGAAUUCCAGGUGUAGCGGUGAAAUGCGUAGAUAUCUGGAGGAACACCGGCGGCGAAGGCGGCAUCCUGGACCGACACUGACGCUGAGGCGCGAAAGCCAGGGGAGCAAACGGGAUUAGAUACCCCGGUAGUCCUGGCCCUAAACGAUGAGUGCUUGGUGUGGCGGGUAUCGAUCCCUGCCGUGCCGAAGCUAACGCAUUAAGCACUCCGCCUGGGGAGUACGGUCGCAAGGCUG